GACGAACGCUGGCGGCGUGCUUAACACAUGCAAGUCGAACGGAAAGGCCCUGCUUUUGUGGGGUGCUCGAGUGGCGAACGGGUGAGUAACACGUGAGUAACCUGUCCUUGACUUUGGGAUAACUUCAGGAAACUGGGGCUAUUACCGGAUAGGAGCUCUUGCUGCAUGGGGGGGGUUGGAAAGUUUCGGCGGUUGGGGAUGGACUCGCGGCUUAUCAGCUUGUUGGUGGGGUAGUGGCUUACCAAGGCAUUGAAGGGUAGCCGGCCUGAGAGGGUGACCGGCCACAUUAGGACUGAGAUACGGCCCAGACUCCUACGUGAGGCAACGGUGGAGAAUAUGGCACAGUGGGCGGAAGCCAGAUGCAGCGACGCCGCGUUCGGGAUAACGGCCUUCGGGUUGUAAACCACUUUCGCCUGUGACGAAGCGUGAGUGACGGUACCGGGUAAAGAAGCACCGGCUAACUACGUG
rnacentral:rRNA from 1 species